UAAAAUCGAGGGCAUGACAGUAUCCCUAUGUAUUCCGUCGUUGAAUAGGGGUAUAGGGUGGGUAGUGUUAUUUUCUUGUUGUGGUUCAAGCGCAGCCUCCCCCGUUACUGCACAAACUUUAUUGACAUUUGCAUAAUGUUUUGUGCCGACCAUCAUCCAUGUGUGUUUGGUGCUCAUAACACUAUAGCAGCUGCAAGGGCGGGAAAAGAUCUUUGUAUCUAGCCUUGUUGCAGAUUUGCCAACAAUUAGUCCCCAAUUUGGUGAGGCUAUUGAUGAUGCUGCCCGAUCCUUUAACGACGCUUAUGACAAGGUUAGUUUGGUUGAGUGUUUUACCGUGCACAAGAGAAUACACAUGCCGUUUGAUUAGCUAAUGGUUUCUGUAUCUAAUAUGUUAUCACAUUGUUCUGCUUUGGCAGGGCCUUUCUCCAUAGGAGUUUCUAGAGAAUAUGAAAAAGAAAGGCAUUUGUAUGCCCAAAAUUGGCCACAAGUAUAUAGCUUCUUCACUUAGCUACUCUUAUCCUCCGAUUGCGCCACUGUAAAAUUUCUGAUCUCUCCGUCCCACUAUGUUGGCCAGUUUAUCACUAUUUCGGACAUCUCAGAAAAAUAUGUACUCUAUUUUAUUGGUUUCCAGAUGAUUUUGAAAAAUUAUAAGUUGACUUCUUUUAAUUAAUGGAAAAAAAAGAAACAAAAUCUCAGGAAGUACGUUUCUUGAUUGGAUUGAAUGGGGCUUUGCUUCAAUUAGAUGGCUUCUAUUGUUGGUGUUUAGAUUUGUUUCUUACUAAAAGUCAAAAAUAGGUCAAUAUAGUAUAAAA